UUUCCGUAGGUGAACCUGCGGAAGGAUCAUUAAAAUGAGAUUCGGUCAGAGGGGGUAAAACCUCUCGGGCUGUCAACCUCCACCCUUGUGUAUUUUGCAAUUGUUGCUUUGGUGGGCCGCGACCCUCACGGGGAGCACCGGCUUCGGCUGGAGAGCGCCUGCCAGAGGACCCCAACUCUGUAUUUUGUAACAUCUGAGUACUAUAUAAUAGUUAAAACUUUCAACAACGGAUCUCUUGGUUCUGGCAUCGAUGAAGAACGCAGC
rnacentral:misc_RNA from 1 species